rnacentral:rRNA from 1 species
AAUUUGUGGUUAAAUAAUUACUCCCGAAAAUAAAAGAUCUAAAAAUAUAAUAGGUUUUGGUAUUUAUAUAGUAAUAUUGUUGCAUUAAUAUAUUUAAAUAUAUUUUUAGGAGUGAAACACUUACACUUUUAUUGAUAUCUGGAUAAAUAUUAAAUAAAUUUAGUUUAAAGUAUAGUUACAAUGUGAUAAGAUAUUGUAAGUGGAAAUUCUUAUAAUACCUCUAACUCGUUGUUACUAAUUAAUUCUUAAUAACAAAUACUCUGUGGUAAUUACUCAAUGUAUAAUAUUCCCUUGUAAUAUUUUAUUUUAGUGAAACUACCAUUAAAGUAUAUAAUGUAUAAAUUAGUAUAAAUAAUAAAUUUAAUUGAAGGAAUUCGGCAAACAACCUAUACGACUGUUUAUCAAAAACAUAGCCAGUAGAAAAUUUAUUACUGGUGUGACCUGCCCGGUGAGUUUUUAACGGCCGCAGUACCCUGACUGUGCAAAGGUAGCAUAAUCAUUUGGCUUUUAAUUGAAGUCUCGCAUGAAAGGAAAAACGUAUAAGAACUGUCUCCACUAAUAAAUUUUUAAAAGUUAGUUUAUAAGGUGAAAAUACCUUAAUAAUAAAAAUAGACGAGAAGACCCUUAGAAUUUUAAUAAAAGCCCGAUCUAUAGUUCGGGCUAAAUUUUUGUUGGGGCAACAUCUUUUCAUAAAAUAAAAAUAUAUGUUAGAUAUAUAACGAAGAAGUUUAAUAAAAUAAAAAUUACCUAAGGGAUAACAGCAUAAUUUUUAAUAAAGAUUGUGACCUCGAUGUUGGACUAGGAACUAUUAAGGCUAAUCGUUUUAAUAUAAUGGGUUCUGUUCGAACUUUAUUUCCUA